rnacentral:rRNA from 1 species
GUGCCUACGGGAGGCAGCAGUGGGGAAUAUUGCACAAUGGGGGAAACCCUGAUGCAGCAACGCCGCGUGGGUGAAGGAGCGUUUCGGCGCGUAAAGCCCUGUCAGCGGGGAAGAAGAAAGACGGUACCCGACCAAGAAGCCCCGGCUAACUACGUGCCAGCAGCCGCGGUAAUACGUAGGGGGCAAGCGUUAUCCGGAUUUACUGGGUGUAAAGGGGGCGCAGACGGCAAUGCAAGCCAGGAGUGAAAGCCCGGGGCCCAACCCCGGGACUGCUCUUGGAACUGCAUGGCUGGAGUACAGGAGGG